AAUACACAACUCCUAGGAAGAGUAAGAAAAAGUUAAAACAUCCAUCAGACUGGAACUGGUGGCAAAUAAAAGUCUCUCAAGAGGCUAGAAAGGUGGCAUUAAGCCAGCAGAAGGGCAUUGAUGUGGCAUAACUCCUUACGGUAUGUUUGGCUCCCUUGACAGAAGUACAGCUGCAUGUCAAUGGCUAGCUUGGAUCCCAUCUGCAGGGCUUGUGAACUGCAACAGCAUGUUCUUCUGUUAGCGAUCAUAGCUUUGUCAUUCGACUUUUUGGCAAAAUACUGCAUCUUCAGCCAGGAGAAGUUGGCGAAGUACAAAAGGGCUUUUGAAGCGGAAAUAUGAAAGCAUC
rnacentral:lncRNA from 1 species